AUGAACGCUAGCGGCAGGCUUAACACAUGCAAGUCGAGGGGCAGCGCGAUGUAGCAAUACAUUGGCGGCGACCGGCGGAAGGGUGCGUAACGCGUGAGCAACAUGCCCGUAUGAGGGGGAUAGUCAUUGGAAACGAUGCGUAAUACCCCGUAACAACAGUUUUCGCAUGGAGGCUGUUUGAAAGAUUUAUCGCAUACGGAUUGGCUCGCGUGACAUUAGCUAGUUGGCGGGGUAACGGCCCACCAAGGCGACGAUGUCUAGGGGAACUGAGAGGUUGGUCCCCCACACUGGAACUGAGACACGGUCCAGACUCCUACGGGAGGCAGCAGUGAGGAAUAUUGGUCAAUGGGCGGAAGCCUGAACCAGCCAUGCCGCGUGCAGGACUAAGGCCCUAUGGGUCGUAAACUGCUUUUGACGGGGAGCAAUAAGGGUGUCGUGACAUCCGAUGAGAGUACUCGUCGAAUAAGCAUCGGCUAACUCCGUGCC
rnacentral:rRNA from 1 species